ensembl:lncRNA
CCUCUGCCUCGUAACUACAACUGUUCUCUGAUGACAUUUGUAAUCAUCCUUCCACUCCAGCAACCUGUGCAUGAGAUCCAACUCUUGAGAUGAGAUUACAUUUAUGAUCUCUUUAUGAACUUGAAGAAUCAAAGUUUUGGUGGAAUGUACUGCUGUAGCGGGACCCUCAGCGAUCACAGCCAGCCUCAUGGUGACACUGUAGCACCGCUGUAGAGGCAAAAGCAUGAAGCAGCCAAAGAGCGGGUCACCGAAUGACACAGCCUCAUACUGCACCAGCAGAGCCGAGUAUAGGUCAUGAAAGGAAGCCAAGCCUGGUGGAGGUGAGCCCAGAUCCAGCGCCUCAAGCUGAGCUGGCCGUGUUAGCCUGCGAAACAGUGCCCAAGUGAGCUCUUGCACAGGCCGCUCCAGGAAGAGGUCACUGGAGCACAGAAAGACACAGGCUAGCCGGGCUAACUUUGCCACUGGUGGCACCGCAGUGAGCGCCUGCUCUCUCCAACUCUCCAGAACAAGCAGCCAUUGAAGGCAGUUAGUGACUGACUGCACUGACCCUGCUGGAAGAGACUCAACCUGAUGCCCACCACCAGCUGACAGCCCCAUUCGCUCAUAGAGACUUAUGAGCGGUAAGAAGGGCCAAUCAGAAGGCAGGGAGGGGCCGGUAAGUUCAGGUAGGAGAUGAGAGCUGACAAAAGGCGUUCAGCCGAGGUACCGGUCAUGGGAUGAAAGGACAGAGGAUUCCAUGUGUGCAAGGUGGGCGAGGUAACAACCGCGGAUGGAGGGCAAAUGAUGGAGAGCGUCACACAGCAGAGCACCAAUGCCAGG